UGUGUUCCUGAACGCCUCAUUAGAAUCAUGUCUCAACUUGAUUUCCAAUGUUUGACGCAUUGACGACAAGACUGCGAGGACACUGGGAAGAAACUGGUAAGAGAUAUUUAACAUUUUUACUCUAACUCUACUCUUUACUUUUAAUAUGUUCCGUUUUUAAAAUGUCUUUUCAUUUUGCUUGACAGACGAUGAAUAGAACGCAUGGCGAACCAGAGGAGGGGGCAAGUCUGGGGGCGACAGGAUAUGAUGCAGACACAGACGACACACAUGAUGAGAAGGACAUUUUGGAUGGGGAACCAGCUGCAUCUCAAGAAGCUGCGUCUCCACAACCGUCAGACGAGCUGGGAGUAGCUGAUGAUGAAACAGAACCAGCUGCAUCUCAAGAAGCUGCAUCUCCACAACCGUCAGACGAGCUGGGAGGGAUGAUGAUGAAAC
rnacentral:lncRNA from 1 species